rnacentral:rRNA from 1 species
UACAGAGGAGCCAAGCGUUGUCCGGAUUGACUGGGCGUAAAGCGCACGCAGGCGGACGCGCGCGUGGGGUGUGAAAUCUGGCCGCUUAACGGCCAGGCGCCAUCCCAUACGGCGCGUCUGGAGUGAUGCAGAGGUCGAUGGAAUUGCCGGUGUAGUGGUGAAAUGCGUAGAGAUCGGCAGGAACACCCAGGGGGAAACCAGUCGACUGGACAUCUACUGACGCUGAGGUGCGAGAGCGUGGGGAGCGAACCGG